AAAAACAUCGCCUUUAGCCAAACAAGUAUUAAAGGUACCGCCUGCCCAGUGAAACCCCCUUAAACGGCCGCGGUACUCUAACCGUGCAAAGGUAGCGUAAUCACUUGCCCCCUAAAUAGGGGCUCGUAUGAACGGCUAAAUGAGGGCCUAACUGUCUCCUAUGACAAGCCAAUGAAACUGAUCUCUCAGUACAAAAGCUGAGAUACACCCAUAAGACGAGAAGACCCUGUGGAACUUCAAAGCACCACACUAAUACCUCACCCCCAUAGUGUUUAACUUUUAGUUGGGGCGACUACGGAGACAACCAAAACCUCCAUGAACCAGGAUCAUAUCCUCCAAUGGCAAACAGGCCUAAGAUAAUAAUAACCAUUGACCCAGCACUGCUGAACAACGAACCAAGCUACCCCAGGGAUAACAGCGCAAUCCUCCCCAAGAGUUCAUAUCGCCAGGAGGGUUUACGACCUCGAUGUUGGAUCAGAACACCCAGGCGGUGCAGCCGCUGCCAAAGGUUCGUUUGUUCAACGAUUAAUGUUCUACGUGAU
rnacentral:rRNA from 1 species